GCUUCUCGCUGGAGUGCGCACCGAGCGGCAGUGACUUCGCCGCUGCUGUAGUUCCCCGGCUGGAUGCGGUGACUGGUGCCAGUGCUCAGGCGCCCGCUGCCCUUGACCUCCCGCCCCGCGAGCCCUAACUCAGCGCAGGAGGACCGGCUGCCGCCGCCGCCGCCGCCAGGAGGUAGAUUGGGAAGUGGAGCUGGCCGUGGUCAUUGGAAAGAAAGGCAAGCACAUCAAGGCCACAGAUGCCAUGGCCCACGUGGCCGGCUUCACUGUGGCUCAUGACGUGAGUGCUCGUGACUGGCUAACAAGAUGCAAUGGGAAACAGUGGCUGCUGGGAAAAACCUUCGACACCUUCUGCCCUCUGGGCCCUGCCUUGGUGACCAAGGACAGUGUAGCAGAUCCACACAACUUAAAGAUCUGCUGUCGAGUGAAUGGGGAAGUGGUCCAGAGCAGCAACACCAACCAGAUGGUAUUCAAGACAGAGGACCUGAUAGCCUGGGUGUCCCAGUUUGUUACCUUUUACCCAGGGGAUGUCAUCCUGACUGGGACCCCCCCACCUCCACCCAGGUGUCGGUGUAUUCAGGAAACCUCCUGUCUUUCUCAAGGUCUCUGAAGGUCCAGACAGCACUGAUGGCGAGCUUUGGGUCCGCACACUCUGGAAAGAAGAGAGAAGUGAAGGCUCUAGGGGGCAGCAGCCACCAGCAAACACCACUGCCUGCAGGAGCCUGGGCUGACUGGUUGGGACUCACCGAAGAUCCCUUCUUCCUGGGCGGUGGCCUGCAGGAACUGGAACAGCUGCUCUGUGUAGCCCAACUCUGCAGAAGAGAGAAGACCUAGACCUGGCACCCAGCACAGACACAGCCUGCCUCGAGGACUGCAAGGGAACAAGGGCCUCACCAGUAUCGGGCAGCUGGCCCUGGCGGAGGAAGGCGGCAGCCUGUGCAAAGGCCUUGAGCAGCGGGCUGAGCAGGCGGCAGAGGAAAAGAAAGAAAUCUGGGCAGUGUGACUGCUGGCUGAGCUGGAGGGGACAGGCCGGGGUGAGUGCAGCUCCCCACCGCCUCCCUACCACCUCCCUCCAGGGGCAGCUUUUUGAAACACACCCUGAAGUACCGGCCGUCAGCCUCUCCGAAGUCAUCACUGUCACUAUCAGUAAAGUCCCCACUCGGUUUCCACA
rnacentral:lncRNA from 1 species